rnacentral:rRNA from 1 species
UCCCCAUCCGACCCGUCUUGGAACACGGACCAAGGAGUCUAACAUGUAUGCGAGUCGGCGGGUGGAAAACCCGUAGGCGCAAGUAACCUAACAGGUGGGAUUUUUGCACCAUCGACCAACCUUGAUCUUCUGUGAAGGGUUUGAGUACGAGCAUACCUGUUGGGACCCGAAAGAUGGUGAA